UCCAGACUCCUACGGGAGGCAGCAGUGGGGAAUAUUGCACAAUGGGCGAAAGCCUGAUGCAGCAACGCCGCGUGAAGGAAGAAGGGUUUCGGCUCGUAAACUUCUAUCAACAGGGACGAAAGAAAUGACGGUACCUGAAUAAGAAGCCCCGGCUAACUACGUGCCAGCAGCCGCGGUAAUACGUAGGGGGCAAGCGUUAUCCGGAAUUAUUGGGUGUAAAGGGUGCGUAGACGGAAGAACAAGUUGGUUGUGAAAUCCCUCGGCUCAACUGAGGAACUGCAACCAAAACUAUUCUCCUUGAGUGUCGGAGAGGAAAGUGGAAUUCCUAGUGUAGCGGUGAAAUGCGUAGAUAUUAGGAGGAACACCAGUGGCGAAGGCGACUUUCUGGACGAUAACUGACGUUGAGGCACGAAAGUGUGGGAAGCAAACAGGAUUAGAUACCCCCGUAA
rnacentral:rRNA from 1 species